rnacentral:misc_RNA from 1 species
AAACUGCGAUACUUAGUGUGAAUUGCAGAACUACGUGAAUCAUCAAGAUUUUGAACGCAUCUUGCGCUCUUGGAGCUUUCACUCUUUGAGCAUGCCUAUUUGAGUACGGUUUUUAUUCAUUUUUUUUAUUAUUCUUUUUUAUAAAGAAUAUUUAAAAAAAAUCAUCAUUCUUUCAGAAUGGACUUUGGGUAAUCACAAUUUUUAACAUGAUUGUGUUUCCUGAAAAUUAAAAGUGAAAUGAAAUAAAAACAAAAUAAUCAAAUAUAUUUAAAUCUGAAAAAUGAUGAAAAUAUUUAUCAAUAAUCUAAAGUGUGAAAUUUUUUCUUAACUUGGAUUAUUUUUCUUUUAACUUUUUCAUUUAUAUAUGUUUUCUCUUUUGAGAACUAUAGAUUUAAAAUUUUGGUCAAAUUUGUUAAUUUAAAUUUUCACUCUAAAAAUAAUUAAAAUUUUUAAAAUUUUAAUUUGAAACAAUAAAAAAAACCUCGAUCUCAAAUUAGGUAAGAAUACCCGCUGAACUUAAGC